CUGACCUCAAGUGAUCCUCCCACAUCGGCCUCCCAAAACGCUGGGAUUACAGGCAUGAGCCACUGUGACUGGCCAGUCUACCACAUUUUAAAGCAAGCUGUCGGGGCUCUCACUUGAUUUAAAGCUGGGCAGGAAGAACUUCUGAUUCCUCCAUGCUAAAAUAAGAGGUGUGAAUUAAGUCAACUUCCAACUUUCUACAAAUCCUCCAGAGGACUGCCUGUAUCAAAGGUUAUCUUGGACACAGGAAAAGACGGGCCUUACAAGGACAAAGCACUAUAAGGUGACUUUUAUUACUUAACGCGCUGGCUGGAAAAGAGACGAACUGCAUCAUGGGUGAGUGAUACUUCUUAGUCUACCUCUCAUUCAAAAAAGGAACAUGGGCCAGGGGUAGAGGUCUUUUUAUCUUUCCAUUAAGAAAAUACAGAGGAGUAUCACCUUUCAUUUACCAUGGCUGGUUUUGCUAUAGAAAUUGGAAAAUAAGGGCCACUUUCUUGGAUCCCUCCAGUUUAAUUAAACCAAAAUUUGGCCUACUGGCAUAUAUAUUUCAGAAGGUGAGUUUGAGGUUAGCUUGUCCUUUGCAGUUUAGUUCUAAUAGAACUAGCCACAGAAUAUAAGAUUAGCAGUGAGAGUAAAAUUACUCUAGACCAGUGUUUCUCAACCCUCUUCCAUACUGGGAGCUUAAAAAACUGAACCUGGGGUUCUCUGCUCCUGAAAUUUGAUUUUAACUGGACUGGAGUAUAGGCCAAGCCAUUAGGAUUUUAAAAGCUUCCCAGGCAAUUCUAUGUAGCCCAGGUUGAGAAGCACUUGCUCCAGCCCUGGGGUGGCGCUGAGAUUCUGCAUUUCUAACCAGCUUCUAGGUGAAGUCCAUGCUGCUGUUCCAGAGCACACCUUGAGCAGCAAGAAUGUGACUUUAGAGAUGCACUCAGGAUCAAGCCAAACUUAAAAGUAUGGGUGAAAAUAUGAAUUUUAAGGAUAUUCCAGUCCUAAUAAACGAUUUUCUGGCCACUAAACUAGGGAUCUGUAGCAGCCAUAGAAUGAAGAGAGAAUAAGUCCAAAAAACCCCAAAGUAAAUUCAUUUGCUUAAAAAAAAAAAAAAAA